rnacentral:rRNA from 1 species
CCUACGGGAGGCAGCAGUGGGGGAUAUUGGACAAUGGGGGGAACCCUGAUCCAGCGACGCCGCGUGAGUGAAGAAGUAUCUCGGUAUGUAAAGCUCUAUCAGCAGGGAAGAAGAAAUGACGGUACCUGAGUAAGAAGCCCCGGCUAACUACGUGCCAGCAGCCGCGGUAAUACGUAGGGGGCAAGCGUUAUCCGGAUUUACUGGGUGUAAAGGGAGCGUAGACGGAAAGGCAAGUCAGAAGUGAAAGCCCAAGGCUCAACCAUGGGACUGCUUUUGAAACUGUCAAACUAGAGUACGGGAGAGGUAAGAGGAAUUCCUAGUGUAGCGGUGAAAUGCGUAGAUAUUAGGAGGAACACCAGUGGCGAAGGCGUCUUACUGGACCGAAACUGACGUUGAGGCUCGAAAGCGUGGGGAGCAAACAGGAUUAGAUACCCCUGUAGUC